AGCGAACGCUGGCGGCAUGCCUAACACAUGCAAGUCGAACGAGACCUUCGGGUCUAGUGGCGCACGGGUGCGUAACGCGUGGGAAUCUGCCCUUGGGUUCGGGAUAACAGUUGGAAACGACUGCUAAUACCGGAUGAUGACUUCGGUCCAAAGAUUUAUCGCCCAGGGAUGAGCCCGCGUCGGAUUAGCUAGUUGGUGAGGUAAGAGCUCACCAAGGCGACGAUCCGUAGCUGGUCUGAGAGGAUGAUCAGCCACACUGGGACUGAGACACGGCCCAGACUCCUACGGGAGGCAGCAGUGGGGAAUAUUGGACAAUGGGCGAAAGCCUGAUCCAGCAAUGCCGCGUGAGUGAUGAAGGCCUUAGGGUUGUAAAGCUCUUUUACCCGGGAUGAUAAUGACAGUACCGGGAGAAUAAGCCCCGGCUAACUCCGUG
rnacentral:rRNA from 1 species